rnacentral:rRNA from 1 species
GACGAACGCUGGCGGCGUGCUUAACACAUGCCAGUCGAACGGAAAGGCCCUGCUUUUGUGGGGUGCUCGAGUGGCGAACGGGUGAGUAACACGUGAGUAACCUGCCCUUGACUUUGGGAUAACUUCAGGAAACUGGGGCUAAUACCGGAUAGGAGCUCCUGCUGCAUGGUGGGGGUUGGAAAGUUUCGGCGGUUGGGGAUGGACUCGCGGCUUAUCAGCUUGUUGGUGGGGUAGUGGCUUACCAAGGCUUUGACGGGUAGCCGGCCUGAGAGGGUGACCGGCCACAUUGGGACUGAGAUACGGCCCAGACUCCUACGGGAGGCAGCAGUGGGGAAUAUUGCACAAUGGGCGGAAGCCUGAUGCAGCAACGCCGCGGGCGGGAUGACGGCCUUCGGGUUGUAAACCGCUUUCGCCUGUGACGAAGCGUGAGUGACGGUAAUGGGUAAAGAAGCACCGGCUAACUACGUG